rnacentral:rRNA from 1 species
AUGCACGCUAGCUACAGGCUUAACACAUGCAAGUCGAGGGGCAGCAUGGUCUUAGCUUGCUAAGGCCGAUGGCGACCGGCGCACGGGUGAGUAACACGUAUCCAACCUGCCGUCUACUCUUGGACAGCCUUCUGAAAGGAAGAUUAAUACAAGAUGGCAUCAUGAGUCCGCAUGUUCACAUGAUUAAAGGUAUUCCGGUAGACGAUGGGGAUGCGUUCCAUUAGAUAGUAGGCGGGGUAACGGCCCACCUAGUCUUCGAUGGAUAGGGGUUCUGAGAGGAAGGUCCCCCACAUUGGAACUGAGACACGGUCCAAACUCCUACGGGAGGCAGCAGUGAGGAAUAUUGGUCAAUGGGCGCAGGCCUGAACCAGCCAAGUAGCGUGAAGGAUGACUGCCCUAUGGGUUGUAAACUUCUUUUAUAAAGGAAUAAAGUCGGGUAUGUAUACCCGUUUGCAUGUACUUUAUGAAUAAGGAUCGGCUAACUCCGUG